rnacentral:rRNA from 1 species
CCUACGGGUGGCAGCAGUGGGGGAUAUUGCACAAUGGGGGAAACCCUGAUGCAGCGACGCCGCGUGGGUGAAGAAGCGCCUCGGCGCGUAAAGCCCUGUCAGCAGGGAAGAAAAUGACGGUACCUGAAGAAGAAGCCCCGGCUAACUACGUGCCAGCAGCCGCGGUAAUACGUAGGGGGCAAGCGUAAUCCGGAUUUACUGGGUGUAAAGGGGGCGCAGACGGGGAUGCAAGCCAGGAGUGAAAGCCCGGGGCCCAACCCCGGGACUGCUGUUGGAACUGCGUGGCUAGAGUGCAGGAGGGGCAGGCGGAAUGCCUGGUGUAGCGGUGAAAUGCGUAGAUAUCAGGAGGAACACCGGUGGCGAAGGCGGCCUGCUGGACUGCAACUGACGUUGAGGCCCGAAAGCGUGGGGAGCAAACAGGAUUAGAUACCCGAGUAGUC